UACAGAGGUCUCAAGCGUUGUUCGGAUUUAUUGGGCGUAAAGCGUGCGUAGGCGGCGGGGUAAGUGAGGUGUGAAAUCCCGGAGCUUAACUCCGGAACUGCACUUUAUACUGCCUUGCUCGAGGGCUGGAGAGGAGACUGGAAUUUAACGGUGUAGCAGUGAAAUGCGUAGAGAUCGUAAGGAAGACCAGUGGCGAAAGGCGAGUCUCUGGGAAAGCUGCUGA
rnacentral:rRNA from 1 species